GGCUGUUUUUCAACAAUUUAGUCACUUUUGGUUCGUUUUUUGUAAAAAUUAAGGUCGGAAACGGAUUCCAUGCAAAAAAUCAAGUGGGGAGGUAUUUUGGUGAAUUUUCAUGAUCGGAGAGAUCGCCAGCGGCCCGCGAUGGCGGCGCCGCCAGCUCUGAGGCUUCAAUCUGCCGAAGAAGAUCAAAGAAAGGAAAGAAGAAGAAGAGAAAGGAAAGAAAGAAAAAGAAGGAAAAAGAAAAGAAAGAAAAAAGAGGGAAAAGAGAAAAAAUAAAGGGUUGGGUUUUUAUCUAGGGUAAAUUCCACUUUACCCCCCUGUGGUUUAGCGUUUUUUCACAUAACCCCCCUAUGGUUUCAAAAGCUAUACAUAACCCCCUCAUGGUUUGGAUUAAAGUGUCAAAGUAACAGAAAUAGUCACUCGUAACGGAACUUCUAAAAAUGUCGAAAUUACCCUUAUAAAUACAUGACACAUUAACCCCCUAUGAUUUUUAUAUUUUACCAUAUAACCCCCUUAUGGUUUAAUACUUUACCAUAUAACCCCCUUAUGCUUUUCAAAAUAUACACAUAACCCCCUUGGUUAAUACAUAAAUUUCAACCUUACAUAACGGUAUUUUUGACAUUUUAGGUGACGCCGUUACGAGUGACCAUUUCCGUUACUUUGACACUUUAAUCCAAACCAUGAGGGGGUUAUGUAUAGCUUUUGAAACCACAGGGGGGUUAUGUGAAAAAACGCUAAACCACAGGGGGGUAAAGUGGAGUUUGCCCUUUUAUCUAUUUGUAGUUGAGUUUAAGAGUGGGCUGGUAUUGUUUUUUUUACUUUGGGUUUUGUCUGGGCUUUAGAGUUAAGCCAAAUAUUUUUAUAAUAUCUAAGUUUGUUUAAAUUUCUUUAAGUUUGUUUGUUUGUUUGUUUUUUUGGAUUAGAUUGCGUCAAUUUAUUUGGGCUGAAGUGUUGCGGCCCAAAAUACAUAAAAAUAGCCCAAUGUUUGUUUUUUGUGAAAUCAGAAUCCACAUUUUGCAAUUCGGUCCUUGAUUUUUCAAGUAAUUUCACUGUGGCUCUAAAUUUUUGAAUUUCUUUCACUUAGAUCCUUAAUUUAAUUGUACUUUGGUCCUUAAACUUUAUCUUUUUAUUCAAUUUUGACCCCUAAUUUUUUCAAUAAGUAUAAUUUGACCUCAAUAACUUUUCCAAUUUUGCAAUUAGGUCCCUUAGCUUGAUUAUUUCUUAAUUACAAUUGCUUAUCUUCUUUAAUUGUUAAUCUUGCUUCAUUUAAAUAUAUUUAAUUUACAAAUUUUAGGGAUUUUAUGUUUAUAUUUUUUUAUAAUAAUAAAGUGAAUUUACUAUAUGUUUACAUUUUCUUUUAAAUUAUUGUUUAAAUUGGUGCCUUGACUACUUUAUUGGAUUUGGAGUAUAAAUAGGGCAAUUAUACCUCAUUUAACCACUACUUCAGGGGAGGCAUUUUCUAUUAUUAUUUUAAGUUUCUUUGAUGUGCUCCUAUGUAUUUUUUAUGUGUGAUUGCACAUUUUGAGUGUUUUUUCUUUUAUUUACUCAUCUUAUUCAUUUUAAAUUUUUAUUUAUUUUAUUCAAUUUUUGAUGAUUAUUUGGGAGAUAUUUAAAUACCAAAUUGUAAUAGAUAGGUGUCUAAGAAACAUAUUUAGUUAGGCAAUGUUAUAGAUAGAUUUUAUUUUUGCCAAGAUUGUAAUUGUUUAGAUAAAUGUAAUAAAUAGGUUUACGAUUUCCAAAAAUUCCCCUUCUAGAUUGUACGUAGGGCUCCCAAUGUAAUAGUUAAUUUUUGUUUGCUUGUAUGCUCGUGUGCUCAUGUGUUUAUAUGUUUAUUCGCUUUCUUUAGGUUUUUUGCAUCUAGAUAUUAUGUC
rnacentral:lncRNA from 1 species